GCCCACAGCCAUAUCACCCUGAAUGUGCCUGAUCUUAUCUGAUCUCAGAGGCCAAGCAGGGUAGGGCCUGGUUAGUACUUGGAUGGGAGAAAGAUAUAGGGGUAAAGGAGAUUUCCUCAAAAUUCUGCCUACUGGCG
rnacentral:rRNA from 1 species